GUUAUAUGGUCAAGCGAAUAAGCGCACACGGUGGAUGCCUAGGCGGUCAGAGGCGAUGAAGGACGUGGUAGCCUGCGAAAAGUGUCGGGGAGCUGGCAACAAGCUUUGAUCCGGCAAUAUCCGAAUGGGGAAACCCACUGCUUCGGCAGUAUCCUGCAGUGAAUUCAUAGCUGCUGGAAGCGAACCCGGUGAACUGAAAUAUCUAAGUAACCGGAGGAAAAGAAAUCAACCGAGAUUCCCUAAGUAGUGACGAGCGAACGGGGAGCAGCCCUUAAGCUGGAAUGGCUUUAGAAAAACAAUCUGGAAAGAUUGGCCAUAGAAGGUGAUAGCCCUGUAUUUAAAAGGGCCACUCCAGUGAAGACGAGUAGGGCGGGGCACGUGAAACCCUGUCUGAAUAUGGGGGGACCAUCCUCCAAGGCUAAAUACUCCUGACCGACCGAUAGUGAACCAGUACCGUGAGGGAAAGGCGAAAAGAACCCCGGAGAGGGGAGUGAAAUAGAUCCUGAAACCGUGUGCGUACAAGCAGCAGGAGCUCGCAAGAGUGACUGCGUACCUUUUGUAUAAUGGGUCAGCGACUUACUGUUCGUGGCAAGCUUAACCGUAUAGGGGAGGCGAAGGGAAACCGAGUCUGAUAAGGGCGCAUAGUCGCGGGCAGUAGACCCGAAACCGGGUGAUCUAGUCAUGGCCAGGGUGAAGGUGCCGUAACAGGUACUGGAGGCCCGAACCCACGUCUGUUGCAAAAGACGGGGAUGAGCUGUGAUUAGGAGUGAAAAGCUAAUCGAACCCGGAGAUAGCUGGUUCUCCUCGAAAGCUAUUUAGGUAGCGCCUCGGACGAAUACUACUGGGGGUAGAGCACUGUUAUGGCUAGGGGGUCAUCGCGACUUACCAAACCAUUGCAAACUCCGAAUACCAGUACGUACUAUCCGGGAGACACACGGCGGGUGCUAACGUCCGUCGUGAAAAGGGAAACAACCCAGACCCACAGCUAAGGUCCCAAAUUCACUGCUAAGUGGAAAACGAUGUGGAAAGGCAUAGACAGCCAGGAGGUUGGCUUAGAAGCAGCCACCCUUUAAAGAAAGCGUAAUAGCUCACUGGUCGAGUCGGUCUGCGCGGAAGAUUUAACGGGGCUAAGCAGUGAACCGAAGCUUGGGGUGCAUAAAACUUGUUUUAUGCGCGGUAGAGGAGCGUUCCGUAAGCCUGCGAAGGUGGAUUGAGAAGUCUGCUGGAGGUAUCGGAAGUGCGAAUGCUGACAUGAGUAACGAUAAUGCGGGUGAAAAGCCCGCACGCCGAAAGCCCAAGGUUUCCUUGCGCAACGUUAAUCGACGCAGGGUUAGUCGGUCCCUAAGGCGAGGGCGAAAGCCGUAGUCGAUGGGAAGCAGGUUAAUAUUCCUGCACCUCGCGUGAGUGCGAUGGAGGGACGGAGAAGGUUAGGUGUACCGGGCGUUGGUUGUCCCGGGGAAAGGCGGUAGGUUUGGAUCUUUGGCAAAUCCGGGAUCCUUUAAGACCGAGCACCGAGACGAGCCUUUAUGGCGAAGUCACUGAUACCACGCUUCCAGGAAAAGCUCCUAAGCUUCAGCUCACGAAGACCGUACCGUAAACCGACACAGGUGGGUAGGAUGAGAAUUCUCAGGCGCUUGAGAGAACUCGGGUGAAGGAACUAGGCAACAUGGCACCGUAACUUCGGGAGAAGGUGCACCCUUUUUGGUGGCUCAUGCGAGCUAUAGCUGAAGAGGGUCGCAGAAACCAGGCCGCUGCGACUGUUUAUCAAAAACACAGCACUCUGCAAACACGAAAGUGGACGUAUAGGGUGUGACGCCUGCCCGGUGCUGGAAGGUUAAUUGAUGGGGUCAGCCGCAAGGCGAAGCUCUUGAUCGAAGCCCCAGUAAACGGCGGCCGUAACUAUAACGGUCCUAAGGUAGCGAAAUUCCUUGUCGGGUAAGUUCCGACCUGCACGAAUGGCGUAACGACAGCGGCGCUGUCUCCACCCGAGACUCAGUGAAAUUGAAAUCGCUGUGAAGAUGCAGCGUUCCCGUGGCAAGACGGAAAGACCCCGUGAACCUUUACUAUAGCUUUACACUGAACGUUGAGUUCGUCUGUGUAGGAUAGGUGGGAGGCUAUGAAACUGUGGCGCUAGCUGCAGUGGAGCCAUCCUUGAAAUACCACCCUGUCGUGCUUGACGUUCUAACCUAGAUCCGUUAUCCGGAUCAGGGACCGUGUAUGGUGGGUAGUUUGACUGGGGCGGUCUCCUCCUAAAGAGUAACGGAGGAGCACGAAGGUACGCUCAGCGCGGUCGGACAUCGCGCACUGUGUGCAAAGGCAUAAGCGUGCUUGACUGCAAGAUCGACGGAUCAAGCAGGUACGAAAGUAGGUCUUAGUGAUCCGGUGGUUCUGUAUGGAAGGGCCAUCGCUCAACGGAUAAAAGGUACUCCGGGGAUAACAGGCUGAUACCGCCCAAGAGUUCAUAUCGACGGCGGUGUUUGGCACCUCGAUGUCGGCUCAUCACAUCCUGGGGCUGUAGUCGGUCCCAAGGGUAUGGCUGUUCGCCAUUUAAAGUGGUACGCGAGCUGGGUUCAGAACGUCGUGAGACAGUUCGGUCCCUAUCUGCCAUGGGCGUUGGAAGUUUGAGAGGGGCUGCUCCUAGUACGAGAGGACCGGAGUGGACGAACCUCUGGUGUUCCGGUUGUCACGCCAGUGGCAUUGCCGGGUAGCUAUGUUCGGAAGCGAUAACCGCUGAAAGCAUCUAAGCGGGAAGCGCGCCUCAAGAUGAGACUUCCCGGGGCACAAGCCCCCUAAAGGAACCAUAUAGACUAUGUGGUUGAUAGGUCAGGUGUGUAAGUACAGCAAUGUAUUGAGCUAACUGAUACUAAUGAUCCGUGCGGCUUGACCAUAUAACCUCA
rnacentral:rRNA from 1 species